CGGUCGGCAGUUCACCGAGGCGUCGCUGUUCCCUUUGGGAAGCUAAACCUGCCC
rfam:Rhodomicrobium vannielii ATCC 17100, complete genome.